rnacentral:rRNA from 1 species
AUUGAACGCUGGCGGCAGGCCUAACACAUGCAAGUCGAGCGGAUGAAGAGAGCUUGCUCUCUGAUUUAGCGGCGGACGGGUGAGUAAUGCCUAGGAAUCUGCCUGGUAGUGGGGGAUAACGUCCGGAAACGGGCGCUAAUACCGCAUACGUCCUACGGGAGAAAGCAGGGGACCUUCGGGCCUUGCGCUAUCAGAUGAGCCUAGGUCGGAUUAGCUAGUUGGUGAGGUAAUGGCUCACCAAGGCUACGAUCCGUAACUGGUCUGAGAGGAUGAUCAGUCACACUGGAACGGAGACACGGGCCAGACUCCUACGGGAGGCGGCAGUGGGGAAUAUUGGACAAUGGGCGAAAGCCUGAUCCAGCCAUGCCGCGUGUGUGAAGAAGGUCUUCGGAUUGUAAAGCACUUUAAGUUGGGAGGAAGGGCAGUAAGUUAAUACCUUGCUGUCUUGACGUUACCGACAGAAUAAGCACCGGCUAACUUCGUGCCAGCCGCCGCCGUAAUAC